AUGCUUAUGCUUAUGAGAUCACUUGAGCAUGAAGCUGCAGGGCAGCUGCUUUUCUAAAGGAAAAUGCAAAUGACUUGAUCACAGACAAGCCAGAAAGCAGCUCUGAAAUGUUCUGCUUCAGUGCUGAUGGUGCUGCUGAUGUGCUACACACUGCGAACCGUUUAAUAUUCCGAGUGUGAGAAGUCGUCUUCAUGGGAGGAUUUUCUUAAAUUCAGAAAGAGUGACAACUUCAGCGCCAAUUAAAAGAGGAAACACUAUGUUGCAUUUAUGCGAAACGGCAACACCUCUCACCCACACACUCUUUCUCUUGCACUUUGUUUUAUUCUCAGUCUUUCUGCUGGCCAUGAAAGUCAAGAAGACACGUUACCUAUAGAAUCCUUAUAGAAAAUGAUGUCCUUCAAAAUGGCUUCUCUACUUUGUCUCAUCUUUCUUCUUGUGAUUACAGGAGCUCUUGAGAAUCAAUGGAGUGUGAAAUACAGCAACUUAAAUCUCUGUGCUGUAAAAGGAUCUACAGUGGUUAUGGAGGCCACUUACACACAUCCAACAGGUCUUACAGUGAAUAACAGGUUUUGGUUUAUAAAACCAGUUUAUGGUGUAGAACCGACUGAUCUGAGUAAUGAAUCAGGUUACUCAGGCAGAGUGGAGUAUUUAGGAGAUAAACAGAAUCACUUCUCCCUCAGACUGAGUGAUGUGAAGAAAUCAGAUGAACACAUGUACUGCUUCAGAUUCAACACAACUAAAGAUAAAUUUCAGGG